GUGUAAAUAGUAGUGUGGAGACCUCAGAGCAACACUUAAUUUCAUGACCAACAGCGAUAAGAUGGUACUAUUAGUAAGCCAUACUUAAUGAUCAACACUACUCAUAUUAUCAUAUAGAGGACAGAGUAGGCAAAUGGUUGAGGACACUAUUGCUAAACAUAAAGCCAAGUUAGUAGUACAUUCAUCAGUUCACCUAAGUCUGAUAUAUACCCAAUUUAAGACUAUGAAAUAAAAAAGGUGGCUAGAUAUAGUGUUGACUACACAAUCCUUUAUAUACAGAGAUCAAAUAAACAGAGAUACUUAAAAAUUAGUAUCUAAUCUGGCUAUCAUUUAUUGUAUCACUCACUCAUUUUAUUAUUAUAUUUAAUAACUAAGAAUGCCAUUUAUUUUCAGGCCUCCAGGUGUUGUGUAUAUCAAUCAGCCCACUGGAGAUAUAUCAAUCUUUAAUAAAUUAUAAGGUCCCCACUGCUUGAUACUUCACCAAAUACUGGCUACACCAGAAAAUGACUAAAUGUUCUUAACACUUAACAACUACCACAAGCAUUACUUCUGGGUCACUCUGAAGGGUCUAAUCGUUCAAUUACUGAAUUAAUAAAGUUGAUGAAAUUGCUCAAAAAUUGUCUGGCACCUUCUUAACUCAGAGACAUAGGAAUGUGGAUGGAUUAUGACAUACCUUGCACAAAUCAACAACCAGGCUUUUAUUGGAUUUGAAUCCCAAAGGAAAGAGAAAGUUUGUUAUCCAAAACAAACAUGGAAAAUAUCAGAAACCAACAAAACACAAGCAGGCAGAGUGUUAUGGACACAACUUUGGGGAAUCUCCUAAAACCAAGUAUAAAAAUAGAGAGGUGUGGUUGUGUCUCUCAGCUCCACAAGGGUCCACAAGAAUGAGGACAACAGUGAUUUUCGUAAUAAUUUUAGAUCAGAUUUAAAAAAAAAAAUUUGAUCAGAUGGAUCAGGUUAACAGUUUAAUACAUAUUGCAUUUAAGUGCUUAACGAAAAGAAAAGAUGCUCUUACCAAAAUAGUCUAAGAACAAUGCUGAUUUUAAAUUAAUAAAUUGUUUCCUUUUGUAAUAAUAUAAUAAUUUAAGUUGGCAUUGUAUGUAUGUUUAGUGUAGAUUUAAUGCCCUAAAUGAAAUAUACAAUUGACAUUUUUUUCUUUAAAGAAUUAGUUGCAAAUUUCUUUCAUUAUUUAGUUUCACUGUACAAUCUGAAAAAAGCUUGCAACAUUUGUAUUGACCAUACUUCUGCUGGUGAUAUUUAUUUCUAAUUAAUGAAGUAAAUUAAUAUAUAUUCAGUUUACUAUAAUUAAAUACCUCAUACUCGAGACAAAAAAACAUUUAUUGAAUAUCGCAGUGAUAUUCCUGUUCUACACAAUGCGUAUAAACCCUCGAACCAUCUGUCUUUUGAAAGAUUGUACAUUUUGUAUACACAAUGGCAUUCAUUUCAAAACUAUUUAACCACAAUUAUAAUCUAGAUAUCCUGAACAUAUUUUCGUUCUGUUAUUUAUGGACAAGGCAGACUGGUCCAGCAUUAAAAUGUAAACCUUAAUUAGAAUACUUAAACGAGCUAUGCAAUUAAAUGUUGUUAGACAAAUAUUUUAUACUUUUUAUUUUUAAUGUUAUGUUUACGUAUCAUAGUACAAGACAGCUUCUGUAUUCUUGUACAGUAAAUUAAGUUUUUACAUUAGUUUAAUUUAAACUGUAGGCCUGCUUAACAUCUGUUACAUUAUAUGAAAAUGUUUUGUAUAUUUGUUUUAAUUUGUUUGUAUAAAAGUCAAAAUGAAAGUUACUACACUAUUAUUUACAUAUUCUUUUUCAAUCAAUACUUUAUAGUAUAGUUAUAAUUUUCUUACAAUUGAAUGGAUGGUAUAAUACAGAUUUUAAUAGAUGAGCAGUUCUUGUGUAUGUAUUGCUGCUUUACUACAUUUUGAUUAAAAUUUCUUUCAC